rnacentral:rRNA from 1 species
AGUCACUGACAUUAGAUACCCGCGUAGUCCCAGCCGUAAACAAUGUGCGUUAGGUGUGUCGGUAACCACGUGUUACUGAUGUGCCGAAGAGAAAUCGUGAAACGCACCACCUGGGAAGUACGGUCGCAAGGCUGAAACUUAAAGGAAUUGGCGGGGAGCACCACAACAGGUGGAGCCUGCGGUUUAAUUGGAUUCAACGCCGGACAUCUCACCGGAUAAGACAGCUGAAUGAUUGUCAAUCUGAAGGUUUUACAUGACUAGCUG